rnacentral:misc_RNA from 1 species
UACAUGCAAAGAAAUGGAGAGAUAUGGGCCUUUGAGAAUGCUUCUAAACAAGAAUUACGAGUAGCUCUAGCUAAUGAUCAUUGUGAAAAUGGUGAUGGGUAUGAUGGGGUUGUUCUGGGUUUGGAUGGUGGGACCACCUCCACUGUCUGUGUAUGUAUGCCGUUUCUUCCAUUCUCCAAAACCCUUCCUAACCCUCUCCCUAUUCUUGCUCGUGCAAUUGCUGGUUGCUCCAAUCACAACAGCAUAGGAGAAUCUUCUGCCAGGGAUACAUUAGAAGAUGUUAUGGUUGAGGUCCUUUCAAAAUCAGGUUCAAAUAGAUCUGCUGUUCGUGCUGUUUGCUUAGGCAUUUCUGGUGUUAACCAUCCAACUGAUCAAGAAAGGGUUCUAAGUUGGCUAAGGAAAAUAUUCCCCAGCCAUGUGAAAUUGUAUGUCCAGAAUGAUGCUGUUGCUGCUUUGGCAAGUGGGACCAUGGGAAAGCUUCAUGGAUGUGUAUUAAUUGCUGGUACAGGGUGCAUUUCUUAUGGAAUAGCUGAAGAUGGUAGAGAAGCUCGGGCUUCUGGUGUAGGGCCCAUCUUAGGUGAUUGGGGAAGUGGCUAUGGCAUUGCUGCUCAGGCUUUAACUGCAGUAAUAAGGGCUCAUGAUGGUCGUGGUCCACAGACAAUGCUUACUGAUAAAAUUCUGAAGGCAUUGGAUCUCUCUUCUCCUGAUGAAGUCAUUGGCUGGACUUAUGCAGAUACAUCUUGGGCAAGGAUUGCAGCCCUUGUUCCAGAAGUGGUAUUUUGUGCAGAAGCUUCUGAUCAAGUUGCAAAUAAGAUCUUACUCAAAGCAGUCCAGGAGUUGGCUCUAAGUGUAAAAGCUGUUGUUCAGAGACUUGGAUUAUCUGGAGAAGAUGGAAAUGGUUCUUU